rnacentral:rRNA from 1 species
UACGUAGGGGGCAAGCGUUGUCCGGAAUCAUUGGGCGUAAAGCGCGUGUAGGCGGCUCGGGUAGUCUGGUGUGAAAUCUUUCGGCUCAACUCGGAAGCGGUCACUGGAUACUCUCGGGCUUGAGUCCGGAAGAGGAGAGUGGAAUUCCUGGUGUAGCGGUGGAAUGCGCAGAUAUCAGGAGGAACACCAAUGGCGAAGGCAGCUCUCUGGUACGUGACUGACGCUGAGACGCGAAAAGCGUGGGGAGCGAACAGG